rnacentral:misc_RNA from 1 species
AAGUCGUAACAAGGUUUCCGUAGGUGAACCUGCGGAAGGAUCAUUACAGAGAACAUCGCCCUCACGGGUGACUCUCCAACCCUUUGUUAUUAUACCUUUGUUGCUUUGGCAAGCCGCCUCGGCCACCGGCUCACGCUGGUGAGUGCUCGCCAGAGGACCCCAAAUUCUGAAUAUUAGUGUCGUCUGAGUACUAUAUAAUAGUUAAAA